UGGUGCUUUACUGGGGAGAUUGUUUUUCUUUUGAAUAUAACCUUUUCUAGAGAUAGAGGUGGGCAGUGCUGCAAUCAGAAAGGCUUUAUCCACCCCUGCGUUCCUACUGAUGCUCGUUUAUCUCCACAGAAACGGACCUCGACUCGAAGCCCUGCAGAUACCAGUGCAGUUCAUUUACUCCAGAAGCAAUCAUCCCAAGGUUUUAAAGGUGAUAUUCUGGUGGCCAAGACCACUUUGGGAGUCUGGCGAAAGUGGAAGGUGACCUCCCAAGUUGUAUAAGCGUCCAUUAUCUUCCCAAGGCUCCUUCUAACAGUGAACAUGAUAUACGAGACCUUAAUCCUGCAACAGAAAAGAAGCAAAAUGCUCUGUCUUCCAC